rnacentral:lncRNA from 1 species
CACAGAACAUGUGUUUGGCUGGCUGCCUGGCUAUGAGGUGAAUUUUAAGUAACUUUUCAGGCCAUAUUUACCUGAGGGGUUCAGACAGCAUUAGAGUAUGGCCUCAGUUUGCUUUCCAAAAGUAUGCUAAGUUACAUACGAUACUCUCUUUGAAAGUUAAACAAUAGAUCAAGAGACCUGGUACAAAGGAUUUCUCAUAUAAGUAACUGGUAGAGAAAAAUUAAAAUGUAGUUUUGUAUAUUAUAUUUUUGAGACCAACCCUACUGAAGAAUUCUCUACAUAUGGACCAUGAUAUGCAGCUAGAAAUCACCAAGCAGAGAUGUUCCAAGUAUCAAUUUUGUGACAGGAGUAUUUAGAAGAGAAGCAUCAUGAUGCUUGCAUCUUACAUUCAAGUGGUUUGACAAAAACAUCGACAUUAAUUCCUUGAGUUUCUUUUCUACAAAAGCACUGGCUAUUAAUUCUGAAACAACUUUCUGUGUAUUCUAAAAAGGCUCAAAUAAAUACGUUGCAGAUAAAUGAAGCCACUUUUCUCACUGUUGAAGAAGAAAAUUACAGAUAUGAAAACAGGUAAGAUAGAAUUAAUCCCCUGGGCCGGGCACAGUGGCUCACACCUGUAAUACCAGUACUUUGGGAAGCCAAGGCAGACAGAUCUCUUGAGGUCAGGAGU